rnacentral:lncRNA from 1 species
UUAUGAAAUCAAAUGCCUAAAGCAUGCUCAUGCAUCAUGUUUAUAUGUAAUAGGUUGAUUGCACUAGUUACACGAAUAUGAAGCAUUGCAUUAUUUACUGUUGAUGGAGAUUGGACCAAGGACGACCCCACUAGCCCUAGAAAUGUUGUGAGACCUGGCCGGGCCAGGCAUACAUAUACAGUUAUUGUAAGACCUGGCCGGGCCAGGCAUACGAAGGUUGUGAGACCCGGCCGGGCCGGGCAUACUGAGACUGGAAGGGAUGUUUUGGGGUUAGGUCCAAUCCGUGAUAUGAUUUGUUUGUGCUGUGACGCAUUCCAUGAAAGC